rnacentral:rRNA from 1 species
GUAGGUGGCAAGCGUUGUCCGGAAUUAUUGGGCGUAAAGCGCGCGCAGGCGGUUCUUUAAGUCUGAUGUGAAAGCCCACGGCUCAACCGUGGAGGGUCAUUGGAAACUGGAGAACUUGAGUACAGAAGAGGAAAGCGGAAUUCCACGUGUAGCGGUGAAAUGCGUAGAGAUGUGGAGGAACACCAGUGGCGAAGGCGGCUUUCUGGUCUGUAACUGACGCUGAGGCGCGAAAGCGUGGGGAGCAAACAGGGAUUAGAUACCCUGGUAGUCCACGCCGUAAACGAUGAGUGCUAAGUGUUAGGGGGGUUUCCCGCCCCCUUAGUGCUGCAGCUAACGCAUUAAGCACUCCGCCUGGGGAGUACGGCCGCAAGGCUG